rnacentral:rRNA from 1 species
GCAAGUCGAGCGAACGGACGAGAAGCUUGCUUCUCUGAUGUUAGCGGCGGACGGGUGAGUAACACGUGGAUAACCUACCUAUAAGACUGGGAUAACUUCGGGAAACCGGAGCUAAUACCGGAUAAUAUUUUGAACCGCAUGRUUCAAAAGUGAAAGRCGGUCUUGCUGUCACUUAUAGAUGGAUCCGCGCUGCAUUAGCUAGUUGGUAAGGUAACGGCUUACCAAGGCAACGAUGCAUAGCCGACCUGAGAGGGUGAUCGGCCACACUGGAACUGAGACACGGUCCAGACUCCUACGGGAGGCAGCAGUAGGGAAUCUUCCGCAAUGGGCGAAAGCCUGACGGAGCAACGCCGCGUGAGUGAUGAAGGUCUUCGGAUCGUAAAACUCUGUUAUUAGGGAAGAACAUAUGUGUAAGUAACUGUGCACAUCUUGACGGUACCUAAUCAGAAAGCCACGGCUAACUACGUGCCAGCAGCCGCGGUAAUACGUAGGUGGCAAGCGUUAUCCGGAAUUAUUGGGCGUAAAGCGCGCGUAGGCGGUUUUUUAAGUCUGAUGUGAAAGCCCACGGCUCAACCGUGGAGGGUCAUUGGAAACUGGAAAACUUGAGUGCAGAAGAGGAAAGUGGAAUUCCAUGUGUAGCGGUGAAAUGCGCAGAGAUAUGGAGGAACACCAGUGGCGAAGGCGACUUUCUGGUCUGUAACUGACGCUGAUGUGCGAAAGCGUGGGGAUCAAACAGGAUUAGAUACCCUGGUAGUCCACGCCGUAAACGAUGAGUGCUAA